rnacentral:rRNA from 1 species
GUAGCGGNGAAAUGCGUAGAUAUAUGGAGGANCACCAGUGGCGAAAGCGGCUCUCUGGUCUGUCACUGACGCUGAGGCUCGAAAGCGUGGGUAGCGAACAGGAUUAGAUACCCUGGUAGUCCACGCCGUAAACGAUGAGUGCUAGGUGUUAGGCCCUUUCCGGGGCUUAGUGCCGGAGCUAACGCAAUAAGCACUCCGCCUGGGGAGUACGACCGCAAGGUUGAAACUCAAAGGAAUUGACGGGGGCCCGCACAAGCGGUGGAGCAUGUGGUUUAAUUCGAAGCAACGCGAAGAACCUUACCAGGUCUUGACAUCCCGAUGCUAUUCUUAGAGAUAGGAAGUUACUUCGGUACAUCGGAGACAGGUGGUGCAUGGUUGUCGUCAGCUCGUGUCGUGAGAUGUUGGGUUAAGUCCCGCAACGAGCGCAACCCUUAUUGUUAGUUGCCAUCAUUAAGUUGGGCACUCUAGCGAGACUGCCGGUAAUAAACCGGAGGAAGGUGGGGAUGACGUCAAAUCAUCAUGCCCCUUAUGACCUGGGCUACACACGUGCUACAAUGGUCGGUACAACGAGUUGCGAGCCGGUGACGGCAAGCUAAUCUCUGAAAGCCGAUCUCAGUUCGGAUUGGAGGCUGCAACUCGCCUCCAUGAAGUCGGAAUCGCUAGUAAUCGCGGAUCAGCACGCCGCGGUGAAUACGUUCCCGGGCCUUGUACAC